UGGGGAAUUUUGGACAAUGGGCGAAAGCCUGAUCCAGCAAUGCCGCGUGUGUGAAGAAGGCCUUCGGGUUGUAAAGCACUUUUGUCCGGAAAGAAAUCCUUGGCUCUAAUACAGUCGGGGGAUGACGGUACCGGAAGAAUAAGCACCGGCUAACUACGUGCCAGCAGCCGCGGUAAUACGUAGGGUGCAAGCGUUAAUCGGAAUUACUGGGCGUAAAGCGUGCGCAGGCGGUUUGCUAAGACCGAUGUGAAAUCCCCGGGCUCAACCUGGGAACUGCAUUGGUGACUGGCAGGCUAGAGUAUGGCAGAGGGGGGUAGAAUUCCACGUGUAGCAGUGAAAUGCGUAGAGAUGUGGAGGAAUACCGAUGGCGAAGGCAGCCCCCUGGGCCAAUACUGACGCUCAUGCACGAAAGCGUGGGGAGCAAACAGGAUUAGAUACCCUGGUAGUCCACGCCCUAAACGAUGUCAACUAGCUGUUGGGGUCUUCGGACCUUGGUAGCGCAGCUAACGCGUGAAGUUGACCGCCUGGGGAGUACGGUCGCAAGAUUAAAACUCAAAGGAAUUGACGGGGUCAUAGCUGUUUCCA
rnacentral:rRNA from 1 species